rnacentral:lncRNA from 1 species
CCCUCCUCUUGGCUGGCCCCUACCGAAGUCCCCCCCAAAUCUGGGAGCCCAGCAGUGGCUCUGGGAGAAGUAAGAAGGGCAGCAGUCCCUCACGCAUUUUAAAGCAGUUUUAAUUUCUCUCCCUUUUCUCGAGAAAAAUCCUUUUAUAAAAAGUUGUGUGUGAUGUAGGAGGAAAAGCCCUGGACUUGGGGUGAAGGGAGGCGUGGAUUCAUUUCCUCUGACAAGACACCCUGCGUGAGCAUGGCAAUUAAGCUAAACUUUCGGCCUCGGUUUCCUCAUCUGCAAAUUGAGAAUGAUUAUAUGCAUCUACUCUCAUGUGUUUAACAUUAUGCUUAUAAAAGUAUUAACUUUCAAGUACAAUAUCAGCUAGCUAUUGUUGUUUUUUUCCUUUAGCAGUUCAGGGCUGAAAAAGUCCUUAAAAUGGAACUUUUCAGGGAUCAAAAUUAUUUUUCAAUGAAGUGCCAGAAGUACACACGAGGGACCGAGUAAAAGGAACAGAACCUCCAGGAAUACAGUGUACAAAAGGACCCUGCUUAAAUGAGGAAACAAGAUCACGUGCCCAAGCUCAGGUAGAAGAGCUGGCCCUGCACAGUGUGCUGGUUAUUCUGAGGAAGAAGACGCAGUGGCCAUCAAAGUCAAUAAGCAAAAUGCAUUUUAAACACAUGAAAUCCAUAAACAGACUCUGCUCCCCUGAAUGAAAGGUAAUAUCACUGAGCUGCUCAUUGCAAUUACAGGAGAGCAGCUUGUAGUUGAGUACAACGAUUUGUAGCAACUGAAAAUGGCCAGUCAACAACAGCAACCAGAAGUCCUUGUUAACGUCUUUAUCCUGGGCACUUAGCAAAAACAAAACAAAAAAAUUCAAUCCCCCCCCCCCCCCCCAAAAAAAAAAAAAAAAAAAAACCAAAACAAGCCAGACGCCACUUUUCCUUCACAAUCUAGGGAGACACCAGGCCAACAACUCUGUAUGAACAAGAUCCAUACCAGAUAAAUUGGAGAUAAUAGAAGUAGAGAGGAGGAGGGGAAAGGCUUCUUGUCCAAGGCAGCAUUUUUACUGGGAUUCGAGAAAAGCCAGUUCCCUGACAUCCAGAGAUGAAAUGGAGAGAAAAGGGCAGAGUAAAAGGCUCCGUCUGUUUCAGUGACUUCCCUGACACUGAAAACACUUUUUAGCUUUAGAGAUUCCUGCAUUUACUGAUGUGUUAUACUAGAUGAUUGAUAAAAUUCCUUUCAACUCUAAUAGGGGAAGGCACCUUGGGCAGUUUAUUUCCAGCAGUGAUUAAUUAACCUGACCCUUCUUCCUCUGAUUCAGUCAA